rnacentral:rRNA from 1 species
ACGACCACCUCAAGCCGGAAAGUUGGUCAAACUCGGUCAUUUAGAGGAAGUAAAAGUCGUAACAAGGUUUCCGUAGGUGAACCUGCGGAAGGAUCAUUAUCCAUCUCAACCAGGUGCGGUCGCGGCCCUCGGGGGUUCUCUCCCGGGUGGUAGGGGUAACACCCUCACGCGCCGCAUUCCUGCAUCCUUUUUUUACGAGCACCUUUCGUUCUCCUUCGGCGGGGCAACCUGCCGCUGGAACUUAACAAAAACCUUUUUUGCAUCUAGCAUUACCUGUUCUGAUACAAACAAUCGUUACAACUUUCAACAAUGGAUCUCUUGGCUCUGGCAUCGAUGAAGAACGCAGCGAAAUGCGAUAAGUAGUGUGAAUUGCAGAAUUCAGUGAAUCAUCGAAUCUUUGAACGCACAUUGCGCCCCUUGGUAUUCCAUGGGGCAUGCCUGUUCGAGCGUCAUCUACACCCUCAAGCUCUGCUUGGUGUUGGGCGUCUGUCCCGCCUUCGCGCGCGGACUCGCCCCAAAUUCAUUGGCAGCGGUCCUUGCCUCCUCUCGCGCAGCACAAUUGCGUCUGCGGGGGGGCGUGGCCCGCGUCCACGAAGCAACAUUACCGUCUUUGACCUCGGAUCAGGUAGGGAUACCCGCUGAACUUAAGCAUAUCAAUAAGCGGAGGAAAAGAAACCAACAGGGAUUGCCCUAGUAACGGCGAGUGAAGCGGCAACAGCUCAAAUUUGAAAUCUGGCUCUCUUUGGGGGUCCGAGUUGUAAUUUGCAGAGGAUGCUUUGGCAUUGGCGGCGGUCUAAGUUCCUUGGAACA